UAUGAUGAGUGCUCCUUGGCCAUGGAUCUU
rnacentral:piRNA from 1 species